AUAAACAAUGAACUAUCAUUAACAGACAAACAUGAACGUGUUAUAUCACAUGAUUCGCGCACCAUUAAAAACAGAACGUCUCCGACAUCGACUACGGUUGUUUCGUUAACUUGAACUAGGAAGCUACGUAUUUCGUAUGGAAGCCUUCCCGAGACGAACGUAGUUCGACCUCCUUAUGGUUUGACGUUUCCGACGAGAACUUCACCCAAGAAGAAUACGUAGACCACUGAGCUCCAAAUGAGCAGACUACUUCCUCACACUACUAGCAUAACGACUCCUCCGAUCGGUCCACGGUCAUUUCUUACGGCGACGCCGACAACGAAGUCGAUGUAGAAGCCCCCGUAGAAGGCCCCGAUGUUGACACCGAUGACUUCGACUCCUGGUCCUACCACGUUUAUACCUCUUACGUGUCGGUUGCUACCUUCACGGUUCGUUCGGGUUUAUGUCCGUACUGAUGAUGUUAUGAGGAUGUCUUCACCAUGACUGAUAUAAACGAUUCCCACAAGGUCGACUGUCGCACCAACAACUGAAACCACUUGUCUACGACUCACAGAGUUAACUUGAAGGGCCACUCCUUGGUAUGGUAAAAGUCGGAGCAGACAAAAGUUUCUAGCAGGGUCUAUUCACGUUCAUAUGACACAACAGAUGUUUCCAACUUUACGCGGAACGUUUUCGACUCGGUCAUUGAACCUGUAGUAACCUAAUAUGACCAUUUGGUUUCCGAGGAGUCUUCUAUUUACAUGGUCGACUUAGUCGGGUCUCCGGUAGAAUAGGCAGUAGUUUUAGGUUUUUCCUGACCCUAUUCGAACUUCGACUUCACUUUUUUGUCCUCUUCCUACUUUUUGAACUACCACUACGACGUAACUUGUUUAAAAAGGCACUUUAAAUGUCACUACGACUACUUCUAUACGCAUCUCGUUACUACUUCAGAAAACACCUCAGAUUACCUUGGCAAGAGAGUUGGUUGACCUUCCUACAGCCCUUUUUCUGCCAACUUCCUUCGGGAGGACUACCUUACCUCGAGUUCUUCACCCUCAUAAUUACUUAGGUCUAGUAGGUACAACAUUUAGGACCAGCCCAGCACUCACAAUUGAACCGACGUCUGAACGUUUAGUAACAGCCAGCCUAAUAACACACAACGAGAACUAAGACAAAGGAUAAACAUUCGACAAACGCACCGUCCAAUCGAAAAUUCAUGAAUAGGAUCAAAACGCUCGAUGUCAACCAUUAUCUCAUUCGGUAUGGACACGUAGACACCAUACCUUCACGUUUUGCAGGCAACAUUGACCACGGUUUUGAUAGUAGACACUUUGCCACGAUAAAAAACAGACUUUAGACACGUAGUGUGAAUUAAAAACAAACUAGUCUAGCUAGUGUAUCUAGCACUUUAAAUU
rnacentral:rRNA from 1 species